rnacentral:rRNA from 1 species
GUGUCAGCCGCCGCGGUAAUACGAAGGGGGCUAGCGUUGUUCGGAAUUACUGGGCGUAAAGCGUACGUAGGCGGAUUUGUAAGUAGGGGGUGAAAUCCCCAGGCUCAACCUGGGAACUGCCUUCUAGACUGCAAGUCUCGAGAUCAGGAGAGGCGAGUGGAAUUCCGAGUGUAGAGGUGAAAUUCGUAGAUAUUCGGAGGAACACCAGUGGCGAAGGCGACUCGCUGGACUGAUACUGACGCUGAGGUACGAAAGCGUGGGGAGCAAACAGGAUUAGAAACCCCAGUAGUCC